UGCAUCUGCCGGGAAUCGAACCCGGGCCGCCAGCGUGGCAGGCGAGCAUUCUACCACUGAACCACC
rnacentral:tRNA from 1 species